GACGAACCGUGCGAACGUUAUUCGGAAUCACUGGGCUUAAAGGGCGCGUAGGCGGGUCGGUAAGUCAGGGGUGAAAUCCCACGGCCCAACCGUGGAAGUGCCUCUGAUACUGCCGGCCUCGAGGGGGAUAGGGGCGUGCGGAACUCAGGGUGGAGCGGUGAAAUGCGUAGAUAUCCUGAGGAACACCGGUGGCGAAAGCGGCGCGCUGGAUGCCUUCUGACGCUGAGGCGCGAAAGCCAGGGGAGCAAACGGG
rnacentral:rRNA from 1 species